rnacentral:rRNA from 1 species
UACAGAGGUCUCAAGCGUUGUUCGGAUUCAUUGGGCGUAAAGGGUGCGUAGGUGGCGGGGUAAGUCAGGUGUGAAAUCUCGGGGCUCAACCCCGAAACUGCACUUGAUACUGCCUUGCUCGAGUACUGGAGAGGAGAUUGGAAUUUACGGUGUAGCAGUGAAAUGCGUAGAUAUCGUAAGGAAGACCAGUGGCGAAGGCGAAUCUCUGGACAGUUACUGACACUGAGGCACGAAGGCCAGGGGGAGCAAAACGGGG